CACUUGGACGCUGCGGCCGAGGCGAUUUCCCUCGGAGGUUGCGAAAUACGCCUUCCUCCUGAGGCGGAGACGCUCCAGGGUGUUUCUGAUUUGGGCAGCCCUCUCUCCCAGCACCUCGCCUUUUUUUCCUUUUCCUUUUUUUUUUUUUAAACCUCCAGCUGCGGCCUCUCUCCCCUCGCCUCCCACCCAACCAACUGCAGCAAAGUACAGUAUGUUGCGUCCACGCUGACUUGCUCGGAUUGUACAGAGUUAAGCUGGCCUUAUAGUCCAUUCCCAAAUUAUCUGCGCCUUGGCUGGAGUCUGACGUCCAGGUGAGGAAGCAGGCCCAGAGAAUAUUCAAUCACAAAGAGACAGAAUACGUAGAGAACAAUUUCAAGGAUACUUAGAGCGAUCACUCCCUCUGGGAAAAGCCAGCUGCAAUGUCAUGAGGACAUUCAAGGGUCUCAUAGAAGAAACUGAACCCUCUGCCAAUGCCAUGCAAUCUGAUUGGAACCAGUGAGGAGGUGACUGGAGGCCAGUGGAUGGUUCAUGGUGUUACCUUGCUUGUUUCAAAGUUGCACUGGCGUAGCAAACACUGUAAUUAAAACACAACUUCAUUUUUGUUUCUCCGCUUCAAAUUUAUUCAGUAGGAAAAUGUUCCCUCAUUACCAAAUGGUAUUUCCAAUAGCCCCUAUGACAAUUAGGUAAUAGACUCUUAUGGUCUCAGAACUUUUCCACCAAGGUUGUUUACUCCCUCAGAAGCUCCUGGCAAUUUGGCAGUCCUCAUUUUAAGUGUAUGCUCUGAGUUUUGAAAAAGCCAUACAUCUGUGUAACGAUCUUGCCAAUCAGCAUAUAGAAUAUCCCCAUCACCCCAGUGAGUUUCCUCGUACAUUUUUAUAGUCAAUCCUCCUCCAGCCCUGAGCUCAGGCAACCUCUAAUCUGCUUUCUGUCAUUAUAGAUGAGAUUUUCCACUGUAAAAUUUCAUGCAAAUGAAAUCAUAUAGUAUGUAUUCAUUUGUGUCUGGCUUCGCUAACUUGGAUAAUGAUUUUGAGAUUCAUUCAUGUCAAUGAGUGUAUCAUUAGUUCAUUCCUUUUUAUUGUUCAAUAG